UCAGGAGCGUGGAUCACACACCGCAAGAAUAUAUAAAUAUAUAUAUAUAUAUUUUCCAUCAAUUCACGCACUCACAUCAUCCUUCUUACUUUGUUUUCCCUCUCUUGCCUCUCCAACGUCACCCUACGUCCCUCUUUCUCUGUGCCUCUCAUUGAAGAUCAUUCUCAUCAUUCGAGGGUUUCUUGCCUUCAUCAGCUGCAGUUGGAAUCAUGUUCGAUACUGGCUCAUGGUGCAGACAACAUCCUAGGUGUAGGGGAGAUCGGAGCAAGAGGUCACGCCUUGAAGAUGCCCGUCCUAGGCUGCAGACGCCGCAACAAACACACCAUUGCAAUCUCUGUUGACACCAUCAACUCCUGUUAGACCUGGGUUCUGCAAAGAAGCCUCCCUAAUUAAUCAUAACCUAAGUCCGAAUUUUCAACUGUAGGCUUUCAAAUAAACUAUAGCACAAGAAUGGCCGAAGUUGUAAAGGUGAGUAGGUGCCAUAACGUUUAGAGUUCUAUUUCUAUCGACUUCUAGAGUUAAACAUUAUUAUUUUGUCAAAAAUAAUAAUAACUACUAUAGGUUGUGAUUUUGUGCU